GCCAGGAGCAGUGGUGCACACCUGUAAUCCCAGCAUCUUGGGAGGCUAAGGCAGGAGGAUCAUGGAUUCAAAGCCAGCAAGGCACUAAGAAACUCAGUGAAACCCUGUCUCUA
rnacentral:sRNA from 1 species